rnacentral:rRNA from 1 species
UGGCUACUGUGCCAGCUGGUGGAUAGCUCGGCUCGAGAGCCGAUGACGGACGUGCCAAGCUGCGAUAAGCCUCAGGGACCCGCAUGGAGGGAAAGAACUGAGGAUCUCCGAAUGGGAAUCCCCACGCAAUUGCCUCGCGCAAUGGGGAACGUUCCGAAUUGAAACAUCUUAGUAGGAACAGGAAAAGAAAGCAAUCCGCGAUGUCGUUAGUAACGGCGAGUGAACGCGAUACAGUCCAAACCGAAGCCUUCGGGCAAUGUGGUGUACGGA